UACGGGGGGGGCAAGCGUUGUUCGGAAUUACUGGGCGUAAAGGGCUCGUAGGUGGCCAACUAAGUCAGACGUGAAAUCCCUCAGCUUAACUGGGGAACUGCGUCUGAUACUGGAAGGCUUGAAUCCGGGAGAGGGAUGCGGAAUUCCAGGUGUAGCGGUGAAAUGCGUAGAUAUCUGGAGGAACACCGGUGGCGAAGGCGGCAUCCUGGACCGGCAUUGACGCUGAGGCGCGAAAGCCAGGGGAGCAAACGGG
rnacentral:rRNA from 1 species